UACGUAGGUGGCGAGCGUUGUCCGGAUUUACUGGGCGUAAAGAGCGCGCAGGCGGUCGUACAAGUCGCGUGUGAAAGCCCCUGGCUCAACUGGGGAGGGUCACGCGAUACUGUUCGACUUGAAGGCAGGAGAGGGAAGUGGAAUUCCCGGUGUAGUGGUGAAAUGCGUAGAUAUCGUAAGGAAGACCAGUGGCGAAGGCGGGUCUCUGGACAGUUCCUGACGCUGAGGCACGAAGGUCAGGGGAGCAAACGGG
rnacentral:rRNA from 1 species